rfam:Ixodes scapularis strain Wikel colony gcontig_1107728728848, whole genome shotgun sequence.
CCCUGGUUAGGUCAGCUGGUAGAGUUCUCCACUGGAAAUGGAGAGGUCCCGGGUUCGACACCCGGACCAGGCG